rnacentral:lncRNA from 1 species
CAGAUGCUCUGCAUAGACAACUGUGGUGCGAGGGAGCUCAAAGCGCUCCAUCUGCUUCCUCAAUAUGAUGACCAGAGCAGCUUCCCACAAUCAGAGCUCCCUAAGCCAAUGACAACUUUAGUGGGAAGACUUCUGCCAGUACCAGCAAAGUUAAAUCUCAUCACACAGGUCGAUAACGGAGCUCUCCCAUCGGCUGUCAAUGGGGCUGCUUUUCCCUCCGGACCUGCUCUGCAAGGCCCACCCAAAAUAGCUCUGGCUGGGUAAGGAUUAAAAUCUGAGGCCACUGCCUUUGAUGCAA